UAUUCCCCCUUCUCUCCCGAAGCAUUUACAGUCCAAGAUCCAGAUACGCUCACCCCCAGUCCUGUCGUUCCCCACCAUCGUUCGCCUCCAAGCCGCCCGGUCGUGCCCCUUGCCGGACUGUCGUGUCCCACCGCCGCCCGUUUCCCUGCCACCCGCCCUAUUCCCUUCUGCACCUAUGCCCCGUCGUGUCCCCCGCUCAACCACCACACUGCCUCUCCUCCACCCCGCGCGUCUAUCACUGCAUCACCGCACUGUCGUGUGCUCUGCGCUCGGUCGUGCCCCAUGCCGCACUGUGCAGUCGUCCCCCUUCCAUACCUUCAGUGCUCCACUGGAACCAUGGCUGUGACGGGCUUUCUAACCAUGGCCACGCAUCCGGGAUGAAGGUGACGCCCCCUGGUGACCUUGCCCAGGCUGGUAGCUGGACGACCACCGGAUCUACCCAAUAUUGUACCCACUCCUUCUCUUCAACAGGUUCCACUGGUCUCUCUCACUCUAUGGUUUUACUUGUGUAACAGAACUCGUGCUACCAUCAAUAAUUUUCCAUAUUACAUAUUGUCAAUGCCUGCUCACUACAGAGAAAUAUGUUUCUUUCACUGUAAAUCUGAAUAUUCAGGAGAUCGAUAGAAUACGUGGGGAUAAUCAUAGGACGGAGGGAGUAUUAAGUAGUUAUUAUUAAUUCGAGUACAAUUGCGUAAUCUACCCAUUAGUUAUAUACAUUCUAAUCGGUAAAAAUAGAGUAAGUUCAGAAACAGAUUGACAUGAACAACAAGAGAAACUUAGUACUAUAAGAGUUUUUGAAUUUCACACGAUUAUGAAUGCAUCUAUGAACACACUUCAAGUAGAGUAACCUUCUAUUGUUAAUGAAGUUCCAAUUUGAGUCCAUAUAACAGAUAGUAGCAUCUUAUUAAUGCAUACGGGGUUGUGAUCUUAAUCAUAGUGUUGUAUCAGGAGGUCUGAUAAAUGGUAAUUUCUCUACUAUCUAGGCAUUUCCCUUUUGAUCUUAUUGCUAUGUAAGUAUCCAACAUUGUGGCUCAAUUUCAACAAAAUGUAGGAAAUUGAACUUUGCAUUGAAUAAUAUGUUGUGCAAACUGACCACCAUGUCCUCUAGUAUCUACUUCUAUGUUGAUGUGAUUUCGAUCUCUAGUUAUAUACUAUGAUGACUAUGUUUUUGGUAUGUUUUCACAAAGGAAACCAUAAGUUUUUCACUCUUUAUUUAUCAUUGAAUUAUCUUCUUUAUCUGCAAGAACAUGUUCUUGCCGAUGGUCAUGGUCUAAUAGUUGAUGGAUACUAUAGUCUAAUUCAGGAUCUUGCACAAAGAAACUUCUUGAGGUGAUGUUAUGUAGUUUUAGCUUAUCAAUGUACUUGCGAUUCUUUGGAACUAACCACUUGGUGUAUCCCUAUUCUUUUUACCUAACAACGAAAUUCCACCAUCUCCAGUUCCAACUCCUGCUUGCUCACCAUCCCUUGUAGAUUUUGGAAAAAAGCCAGGAACCGUCAGCUUUGUGUGCUCAAUAACACACAUAUCAUGACCAUAAUCUCACUUUGGAUACUUCUACACAAGACUUGAAUAUAAUGUCUGACCAGGUGCUACAUGAUAUUUGGAGUUUUAUCAGUGCAUCUGGAAGUAACUCACUCAGCUUGUUACUCCAGGUCCAGGGAACCUGUUGAUACUUAAUGUUUCUUUUGUUAGUGUUUACAAUGCCAAGGAACCACUCGAUGGAUACAACGAGUGUCACUUUCCACCGGAUACCCUCUUUUUGACUCAUCGUUAGAGGAUUGUACAACCUAUGUGUUCUACGGAAUGAUAUAUGCUGAUCUGAACCAGAACCCACUUAUUGUGCUAUUGGAGAUUCUUCGUGGACAUAUAAGUUCAGAUAGAAGAGGGGUUUUGAAUUGAAAAUUCUACCGGAGGCAGCCAUGGUUGUUCAUUGCUGGUGACGACUCGGUGAUUAGGCUCUACUGCAAGUGAUGAUGAUGGUGCUUUUAAAGGAGCAUUUGGUUUUUGCCGGCGAUUUUGACACAAUGAUGAUGAUGAUGAUGUUGUGUUGUUUUGACAAUAGUCGCAACCCAGAGCCUGGAAGGAAGGAUUGUGUCUGUUUGGAGACCAACUUCUUGGUGCAUGUAUAGAUAACAUGUUACUACAAGUUUUUUGUAGUAGCAAAUAUACUUUGGCUUGAGAAUGCUUGUACUGGUAACUUAGGUAUUAUGCUAAUUGUAGCAUAUAGCUUCUUUUUUCAAAAGUAUGGCUCUGUACUGAACUGGAGUCCGAUGUAUGUGUCAUUGACCAUGAAUGUGAUGUGGACGUUCAA